rnacentral:rRNA from 1 species
GACGUAGGGGGCGAGCGUUGUCCGGAUUUAUUGGGCGUAAAGCGUGCGUAGGCGGCUGCGCAAGUCGGGUGUGAAACCCCGGGGCUCAACCCCGGAACUGCAUCCGAUAAUGCGUGGCUAGAGGUAGGUAGGGGAGAUCGGAAUUCCUGGUGUAGCGGUGAAAUGCGCAGAUAUCAGGAGGAACACCGGUGGCGAAGGCGGAUCUCUGGGCCUUACCUGACGCUCAGGCACGAAAGCUAGGGGAGCGAACAGG